AUUAUACUCCCUCCGUUCCAAAAUUCUUGUCUUAGAUUUAUCUAGAUACGGAUGUACCUAAUACUAAAACGUGACUUGAUACAUCUGUAUUUUGACAAAUCUAAGACAAGAAUUUUGGGACAGAGGGAGUAUCAC
rnacentral:pre_miRNA from 1 species